rnacentral:misc_RNA from 1 species
GUUCAAUAUUAGGAACAUGUUUAUAGAUGGUUUGAUUGUGAGUGAAAUCUUUAGUGCAAUUUAAAAGAAUGUUCCAUUGCAAACUUCAUGAACAAAGAGAUUGCUUUGAAUUUCAUGGCAUGCCAUCAAAAAGCCUAGAGAAACCUUACUUUGAUGCCAAUUGACACAGGAUAGAAAAAUGAUAAACAAGGCUAGAUCAUGUCUAUGCCAACUUCCUUGAAUCACAAGGAAGAAUAAUUAUGGAGUUCACUGGGUUAAUUUCACGCAUAGUCCCUUAACUUAAGUGAUUAAUUUCAAUUUGUAUCAUAAAA